rnacentral:rRNA from 1 species
AUUGAACGCUGGCGGCAUGCCUUACACAUGCAAGUCGAACGGCAGCAUGGGUGCUUGCACCUGAUGGCGAGUGGCGAACGGGUGAGUAAUGUAUCGGAACAUGCCCUGAAGUGGGGGAUAACGUAGCGAAAGUUACGCUAAUACCGCAUAUUCUGUGAGCAGGAAAGCAGGGGAUCGCAAGACCUUGCGCUUUAGGAGUGGCCGAUAUCGGAUUAGCUAGUUGGUGAGGUAAAGGAUCACCAAGGCGACGAUCCGUAGCGGGUCUGAGAGGAUGAGCAGCAACACUGGGACUGUGAAACGGCCCAGACUCCUACGGGAGGCAGCAGUGCGGAAUUUUGGACAAUGGGCGCAAGCCUGAUCCAGCCAUGCCGCGUGAGUGAAGAAGGCCUUCGGGUUGUAAAGCUCUUUCGGCGGGGAAGAAAUGGUUUCGGUUAAUACCCGGAACUGAUGACGGUACCCGCAUAAGAAGCACCGGCUAACUACGUGCCAGCCGCCGCGGUAA